AUGAACGCUGGCGGCGUGCCUAAUACAUGCAAGUCGAGCGCACGGACGAGAAGCUUGCUUCUCUGAUGUUAGCGGCGGACGGGUGAGUAACACGUGGAUAACCUACCUAUAAGACUGGGAUAACUUCGGGAAACCGGAGCUAAUACCGGAUAAUAUUUUGAACCGCAUGGUUCAAAAGUGAAAGACGGUCUUGCUGUCACUUAUAGAUGGAUCCGCGCUGCAUUAGCUAGUUGGUAAGGUAACGGCUUACCAAGGCAACGAUGCAUAGCCGACCUGAGAGGGUGAUCGGCCACACUGGAACUGAGACACGGUCCAGACUCCUACGGGAGGCAGCAGGAGGGAAUCUUCCGCAAUGGGCGAAAGCCUGACGGAGCAACGCCGCGUGAGUGAUGAAGGUCUUCGGAUCGUAAAACUCUGUUAUUAGGGAAGAACAUAUGUGUAAGUAACUGUGCACAUCUUGACGGUACCUAAUCAGAAAGCCACGGCUAACUACGUG
rnacentral:rRNA from 1 species